rnacentral:lncRNA from 1 species
AAAAAAGUGCUCAGUUGGAGAGGACACACGCCAGAAAAUUGAGUACUGCUCCACGGCAGAAAAUUAAGUGCUCUGUUUCUUUGAGAUUAAUACUCGGAACAGAGAGGAACGAAAACAGUGAGUGCAUGCAGUAAAUUGAGAGAUUUGUCAUCAUUUUUUUGUAUCAAUUAAUUGCUUGAAGAUUUUAAUUAAUUUGAAGGUUUUGAGUGGUGAGAUAAUUUGAGUUUUCACUCAAAUUGAGGUAUUUUUGUAUUCUCUCAAUUUCUUAAUAUUUCAAGUUUUUAGUUAUAAAACUUGGAAAGAGUUUGUAUUCACAGUUGAUUAUAGUGGAAUUUUUCGGAGUUUGGCCUGUGGUUUUUACCUCUUAGUUUUAGAGGGUUUUCCACGUAAAUUUUGGUGUCUUGUGAUUGGUUUAUUUUUCGAAUUAUUAUUUUAUGUGAUUAUAAUUUAUUUGGUGGAAUUGCAUAAUUUGUUUGGCGUGAUUUAUUUUAUCAAAGACAGUGAUCAAUUGGAGGAGUUUUUUCAACAAAGUGGUAUCAAAGCAAGGUUCUUUGCGCAGUUGGUUUUUGAUAAAUUGAAUGGAGGAAUCAAGCGGCGCCAUGAUUAAAUUGACCUCAUCUAAUUUUUUGAUCUGGAAACCUAGAAUGGAAGAUAUCCUUUACUGCAAGGAUUUGUAUGAUCCAUUGGAGCUUAAUGGGAAAAAGCCAGCGCACAAGACUGAGGGU